rnacentral:lncRNA from 1 species
AGGUCAGGGUAUUCCAAUGCUGCCACCUUGCCCUUCCCUCAGUCAGAGAAUGCCUUUAGUUGUACUUGUCCUUUGGAAUGAGAGAUGGCGUAUGAUAUAGAUCUUGUUCAUUUGUGGGCAAGGCUAAUUUUUUAUCAGUUUAAGACCCAAGAAAGAACGAGGGUAUACAUUUCUUGAGGUGGAGUCUAGGGAAAGAGACAUGGAUGGAUUUUUCAAAGAGGGCACAGAGAAUGCCCAUGUAAAAGACUAUUAGAGAUUGUUCACUAUGAAGGGAUAAGAUGACUUACUUCUGUGAUGGAAAUCAGCCUCUUCCCAGCUAUCCUCAUAUUGCUUCAUUAGUAUCAUGUACUAAGUCGUUCUUUAUCGGUACUAAACAGUGACCAUAGCAGCAUAAGUAAAGUCUCGGCAUAGACUUCACCACACAAAUCUAUGCUCACUAUGGGUGACCAGGCUAUCAUCAUGGCUAAAUGCAAAAACUGCCAAUGCAAAAGUAAAGCCUCAGGACAUUCUGCAGUUUCGCACCUCACCAUGCUCUUAGUAGACUCACUGUCCACUUUUUUGGAAGAAUUAGAGAGUUGUCUUCAUAGUAAUGUAAAUCUAUGCUGAGUACUAAUUUUCAUUUCCCAAUCAUGUGGCUUCUGCUGACACUACUACAUAUGGACUUAUACAGUACCUUUUCUGCUUUAUCAGCUCCUAUGGUCUCCAAUGAAAUAUCAGCUCUUGAUACAUUUUUACAGAAGAUGAAGUAUGACCACCAGACUCACACCCAAAGAAUUUACUGUAUUUACUCAUGCUCCAUAACCAAGAAACAACUCACCAGUGUGGUGAUGGGAUGGCCUGGUGAAUACUCAGCUUUUAUAUCAAUUGGAAAGUGAAUACUCUGCAUGUUUACAAUGUUGUUUAUCUGAUUCACUAUAUAACUUGAACCAGUAGCUAAUAUAUAUUGCCUCCUGUCCUAUAGCCAUCAUGUAUGAACCCAAGAUGUAAACAGUCACUCUAAAAAUAGGACCAAAUCUUACUAUGGAAAUUUAUGCUUCCUAUUCCUGUAUACCUUGGUUUAAUGGGUUCAGAGGUCCUAGUGCCCCAUGGAAGAAUGGUUCAUAGAGAACACAGCUAAGACUGGCCUCUGACAACUUGUAGCUCCUCGUAUAAGUGAAAUUGUACCUGGAAAAGAGCUUUCCUUUGACAAUUGCGGGAACUAGGUUAACAGUAAAAAUGGAAAUCCAUAAACCAUAUAUUGAAAUAUUUGACAGUUUUAAAUCACAGUAACAAAAUCUUGAGUACAGUGUAUUCUAUCCUUCUAUGUUAAUAAACAUGUUUGCUCUUUGUCUCUAGUGUCUAAUUAUGAGUCUUUAGGACCUUUGUUCUGGUCAAACCAAAUAGGUCCCUAGGGAGAAAAGUCCCUUGAUACAUUAACUCCUUCUAAACUCCAGUCUUUGCAGUAUCACUUGGUCAUUGUCCUCCAGAGCUGUUAAUUAGCAUUAUUUCCACAAUGGCAAGAUUUUAUGGCACUUUGUGUUAGGGAACUCAAGAAAAUCUAAGACUCUAUGAGGAGGCUUUUUCCUUUGUCCAGGUAAAAUAGGAGAAUGGGGAUCAAUUUAGUAAUAAAUAGAGUACCUCUAGGGUCAGACAUAAACUGCUAUGGACAUGAGUCAUAUCUUCAAAUGCAUUAGUGUUAUCCUUAAGCAGGGUAGCUAGCAUCUGAGGUAACACUAGUAGUGGGGAAUAAAUGUGAAAGGAGUAUUGACAUGUUGGGGAAGGUAAAGUCACUUUGACUUUUAACUGGAAUCACAGUGUUAAGGUAAUGCAAAAGAUAUUAGGAAAAGACAAAUGGUUUUAUAAGGUUUGGGGUUUAAUGUUCUGUUGCCAGGAUGAUGGUAUGAACGAUUCUCACCCUCUGUGUUUUGAUUAAAAAGGUAAGAAAAAUAGGUGGCACAAGAAAGUAAGAAAGUAAGGACUCUUGUAAUCUCCAUUAGUUUUUCAAAGAGAUGGAGUAUAAAUCAGUUUUCUUCUCUGACAAGGAAAGUGAAUUUAUUAGGUACUUUCAAAAUUUUCAAGAUGAAAAAAGUCUGAAUGGAAGAUACCUGAAUAGAAAAGAUACACAAAAGCCUGAAAGAAAAGAUAUGCAAAAACCCAAAGCUGAUUAAAUUGUUUCCAAAGUAAAUGUCAUCUCAAAAUAGUAUGUGGAAAGUAUACAGUAAAGUGAAAACUACCAGAUCAGUUGGUCCUUCUGCUUUCUUAAGUGCUUUACAACUUUAGAAUUUUGGUUGUUAAUUUUGUCUCUAAACUAUAAGUAGCAUACAGAUACUUUAGAGAAAGUUGAUAAUUGUGAUUUUUUUUUUGCAAGGUGGGAGGUAGAUGAGAAGGUUAUCCUAAGAGAAAAUAUGAAAGGAAUUGAGUUUUUGAGUGUUGAAAAACAGAAAGCUAAGGGGUGAUAUAGUUUGUUGAGUUUGUGUACAUAAAAUCUUAAUUGAAAAAAAUGUUGAAAAUUAUUUCUGUUGCAUGUGGUUAUAACAAGUAAAAGAAGUGGUCUUAAAUUAGGAGAAGCAGUUGUGAAGAAGAAUUUAUGACAUUUUUUAAAAUAAAAUGCAGGGCAUUUUACCUGAGGGAAGUUAUAGCCUCUCAAUGUUUUUAGAUUGAGAGGGAAAUUUUAUGAAUUAUGGUUUAGAUUCUUAAGGCCAAGAGAUGUCUAUAGGCCUCUUUCAGCCUGAUAAUUCUAUUAUUUGGAACCCCAGCUACCAAUAUUUUUCUCAUCUAUGAAUAUAAAAUAUCUGGGAAUCUGUUUCUGGAAAUUGAUUGAUUCUAUGUGGGUCAAGAGAAAGGUUUAGUCAAAAUAAAAAGUGAAGAGGUAGUUCUUUUAUUUUACAUCAUAAAUAAUUUGUUAACAUAAAUGGUUAUCAUUAAUGCAUUUGAGAAAAAUAAUACAACAACUUUCUCUAUAAAAGGAUACAGUUUCAGAAUAUCAUCUAUCAGUAGGUUGAUUACAGGUAUUUGGUGACUUCCGGGUGAACUGGGGGUCAUAUACUGGUGGGUCCAUCUAGAAUCUACAAAUUUACACGUCAAGAUCUGAUUUUUUCUAUAUUCUGAUAUUCAUAUAUUUCCUCUUCCUUUUAGUAUAUCUGUGGAAAAUUUAUCUUUGACUUCUUCUAACCUUUUUUUUCCCCCCAGUACUCAUUCCAAUGUAACUAAAGAACUGUCGAUAUUGUUCUGCUAGGUUCCAUAUUUAUAUUUCCUUCCCCUGUAAACUCAUUUUCUUCAAAAUUUCCCAUAUAUUAGUGGAAGGUAUUGGAGAUCCAAAGGGAAAAUUAAUUUACAACUUGUAGUUGUUAAUAUGACAUGUUUAACUGGUAAAGGUUUUUGAAGAAAGGCUUCCAAGAGACUAAGGACUUAAAAGAUAGCUCAGACAUAGUACUAAAACUUGUUCAUGAUUAUAGAGUUUCUUAAGUGUAGGAAGUAAUGACAAUCUUAUUCCAUAAACUGUCUCUCAGUUUAAAUAGGCCUUUUCUUUCUUCUUUGCCCUUAUAUAAUAUGGUCCUUAAUUCUUCUUCAUUUUUAGUUUUCAUUUUGGCAUAGUUUCUUUUUCCUUAAUUCUUCUCCAUUUUUAUAAUCUAGUCUCUAUUUUUUUGGAUCUUCAGAACUCUUCUCAGCUUUUUAUGCAUCCCACCAGUUAUAAAUCAGGCAUAUUUUAAUGUCUUAAGCAUCCAAUUAUAUCCUCUUCUAUAUGUCUUAUUAUAUUAUAAAUACACAAUCUGCUAUAUAUGUUGAAAUAUGAAUUGCAAUCAGAUUUUCCUAUGUUGAAGGCUACCUUCAUUGUGUUUAAAUCAGAGUUUUUGUAUCACUGACAUCUUUAACCAACUUUCACAGAGGCAAUAUUUUUAGUGUCUCCCUCCCUCCCUCUUUAUUUUAUGUAUGUGUUAGCAGUUGAGGUUACAAAAAAAGGAUAAACACAAUUCUUCUUGUCAAUACAUUUACUUAUAAAUUAACCAUAAAUUAUGUGAUCAGUGAUGCUUUGGAGCAUGAAUAAAGUGCUAUGAAUAGGAAAAUAAACAAAGAAAAUAUGAAUCUGCUUAGACUGUGAAGAGGUGGUAGGAAAGGCAGUCUAACCAUUAUUGCAUGUGUUUACUUUGAGGUGUGGGUUGUACUUCUUUUCCAAAGAAAAAGAAGGGCAGCUGGUGGAGAUUGUGGAAUGGUGGAAGGGGAAUUAGGAAAGAAGAACAGGCAUGCAGUGUGUGUCAUUGUCAGAUAAUAAUCAAGGGAUGUCAGGUAAUAGAGUACAAGAAAGGAAGUAGGAAAAAUGAAAGAGGAAAGGGGAUUUAAAAGAACCAGAUACCAAAGGGCUUUGAUUGCUGUUUUAGUACUUUGAAGGUUAUCUGGAAGCAAGAAAAGGACCCAUUAACACUAUGAUUGGGUCUGUUUUGAAAACUGCUGUAUUUUGUUAGAACAGCCAAAAGUCUUGAAAGAGAGGAUCAUAAUAGAUUUUGUGGUAGAUCUAGUAAAAACUGAUGAAAAUAAGGGCAGUGAGAAGAGAAAGGGAUAGAUACAUGACAGAUGCACUAAAUCAAAAAAGAAAUUGGGGAAUUCUUGUCAUGGCUCAGCGGUUGACAAAACCUGACUAGUAUCUAUGAGGAUGCGGGUUUGAUCCCUGGCCUCGCUAAGUGGGUUAAGGAUACAGCGUUGCCAUGAACUGUGAUGUAGGUCACAGACACGGCUCAGAUCCCAUGUUGCUGUGUCUGUGGCAGAGGCCAGCAACUGUAGCUCUGAUUGGACCCUGAGCUUGGGAACCUCCAUAUGCCGUGGGUGCUAUCCUAAAAAGAUAAAAGCUGAAAAAAAAAAGAAAGGAAGAAAGAAAAAGAAAUUGGGACAUAUUUCACUAAUUUAAAAGGUAUUCAAGGGCGCUCCCAUAGUGGCUUAGUAGGUUAAGACCCUAACUUGUAUCCAUGAGGAUGUGGGUUUGAUCCCUAGCCUUGCUUAGUGGGUUAAGGCUCUUCAUUGCUGUGGCUGUGGUGCAGGCCAACAGCUGUAGCUAGGAUUCAACCCCCAGCCUAGAAACUUCUCUAUGCCACAGGUG